rnacentral:lncRNA from 1 species
CCAUCUCUAUCAGUGAACAAGCUCUGGAAUGUACCUGAGAAAUGAUAUGCAUGCAGAGAUUAGUUUUUUUUCUUUUUUCUUCUUUUUCUUUUUUCUUUUCUCUUUUUUUUAUAUUGCGUAUUUUUUGAAAAUAAACAUGCUAUGAUGCACAUGAUGCAGACACAACUGGCUGGACAUGCAUCUCUGAACACAAGGUCGAAGCUUCGGUUUAAACUCAGAACCCAAAUCCAAUUGAAACCCAAAGUCAACUGAGAACUGUCAUCUGAACCCAAAGUCACCAACAGAACCACAAGUCAGCAACGGUACCUGUAAUAAUGAUCAAC